UACGGGAGGCAGCAGUGGGGAAUAUUGCACAAUGGGCGAAAGCCUGAUGCAGCUAUGCCGCGUGUAUGAAGAAGGCCUUAGGGUUGUAAAGUACUUUCAUCGGGGAGGAAAAAACAAAACUAAUAAUUUUAUUUCUUGACGUUACCCGAAAAAGAAGCACCGGCUAACUCCGUGCCAGCAGCCGCGGUAAUACGGAGGGUGCUAGCGUUAAUCAGAAUUACUGGGCGUAAAGAGCACGUAGGUGGUUUUUUAAGUCAGAUGUGAAAUCCCUGGGCUUAACCUAGGAACUGCAUUUUGAAACUGAAAUACUAGAGUAUCGUAGAGGGAGGUAGAAUUCUAGGUGUAGCGGUGAAAUGCGUAGAUAUCUGGAGGAAUACCUGUGGCGAAAGCGGCCUCCUAAACGAAUACUGACACUGAGGUGCGAAAGCGUGGGGAGCAAACAGGGAUUAGAUA
rnacentral:rRNA from 1 species